GAGGCAAGUUGGAGCCAAAAUCUGCAGGACACUGGUAAUCCAGGACCAAGCUUUUACACCCCUGCCUUACACCAACAGGAGCGAGAAAGAAAGAGCCGGGUAUCCCUUGCCAUGGUUUCUCCACUAACGGUUAUAUGCCCCAUGUCACUCUGCCCUCCAUCCAAUCCUGUAUCUCUCAAGGAUUCACUGGUGCAAGAAAAUGGAAAAUAGCAUUUAUUCAUUCCUCGUGGUCCUUGUCGUUUACCAAUACACUGUAGUGUGAAGGGCCGAUGGACACAUUCUCAGCCCUCAUCCUGCUGCUCCAGAUGCUGCUUUUUCCUUUGCUUUUGACCUUCACACUCCUAUUCUUCACAAGACGAAAGGUUUAUGCAAAGAAUAAAAAUAAAGUUGCUGCAAAUUGAUCUGAAAAUUUCACAGUGUUUAAAUUCGGAAAACACACAGAUUUGCUCCUGCCAGUCUGAACCCUUAGUGAAGCAGCAGAAGUCUCGCUGU
rnacentral:lncRNA from 1 species